rnacentral:rRNA from 1 species
GAUGAACGCUGGCGGCGUGCCUAAUACAUGCAAGUCGAGCGAACAGACGAGGAGCUUGCUCCUCUGACGUUAGCGGCGGACGGGUGAGUAACACGUGGAUAACCUACCUAUAAGACUGGGAUAACUUCGGGAAACCGGAGCUAAUACCGGAUAAUAUAUUGAACCGCAUGGUUCAAUAGUGAAAGACGGUUUUGCUGUCACUUAUAGAUGGAUCCGCGCCGCAUUAGCUAGUUGGUAAGGUAACGGCUUACCAAGGCAACGAUGCGUAGCCGACCUGAGAGGGGGAUCGGCCACACUGGAACUGAGACACGGUCCAGACUCCUACGGGAGGCAGCAGUAGGGAAUCUUCCGCAAUGGGCGAAAGCCUGACGGAGCAACGCCGCGGGAGUGAUGAAGGUCUUCGGAUCGUAAAACUCUGUUAUUAGGGAAGAACAAAUGUGUAAGUACUAUGCACGUCUUGACGGUACCUAAUCAGAAAGCCACGGCUAACUACGUG